AGGAAUAUUGCUGAAGAUAUUACUCACCACAGCAAGCAGUGUCUCCUUCAUGCAGGCCUAGGGGAGUAAUUUUUCUUUGGCCUCGGGGCCUAAGUUGAAUUUCUUCUGAGCAACUGGAACAUUUUGAUUCUAUGGGCAUUGGGGACAUUAUAAUUGGUUGUGAUUCCUCUUUUGAUUUGGCUGUGUAUCAACCGACAACGCUUUCAGCCACAAUUACUUAAAAUAUCUUAAGUAGCUUUUUUUUUUUCUUUGCACAUAGCAAGCAGCCUGAAGGUAAGUGACUGCUAGGAUUGCUUCAGCGUCUCAUCUGGUGACCAGUGUCUCUGAAUUUCCUUCAGACACAGGGUGGCUGCUGCAGCUUUGACUGUGGUUCUCAAACUUUGGUGUGUAUUGGAAUCAGCUGGAGAGCGGAAAGCACAGCCCAGGCUCCUUGAAGAACACAGCCCAGGCCUUUUAUAGGGUCACCACGUUCCUCAGGUGAUUCCAGUGUUGGCCAAACUUGAGAACCGCUGCUCUAGCGUCUGCCGCUCAAGACCAGAAGGGAGAAACAAGUCCAGCAGGGAAUGGAGCAUUGUGGAGGAAGCCUGUCUGCAAUCCUCCGAAGCAUGGAAUUAGAUCAUCAUUAUCUACUCAAAGAGCUCCUUGGCAUGGGAUAGCAGCCAGGCCUGAAAUUGCUUCGCCUGCCCCCGCAUCCUCCUUGAGUUUCUCCAACUGGUAUGUCACAUGUGCUUAGCUCCAUGAUGAAGGAUGCUGGUGUGUUCUGUGGAAUACUCUCAUCUUCACGUUUGGAAGCAUUGAGAACUGACGCAGGUUCCAGUCUGACCUUGUGGGUUCCAGCUGGUCCCUGCUUUUCCUCCCUCUCUGACCAUCUUGCCUUCAGACAGUUUGCCCUCUGGAUUUCAAGCUCUAGGAUCAGAUGCGAAGACAAUAGCCUUAAUGAGACUGCUUAAUUGCGUAAGUUCUCUUACAGAGAAACUAAUGUCCACAGAAUAUCAAGAAACCGAAGCUUCCCAGGGCCAACUCCUUGGCUUCCUGACGUCAGAGUGUACCCUCCACCAUGGAGAGAAACAGCCAAGGACACUCACCCAAGAAAUCCUUUGUCUCCUCUGGAAGCAGCCCCAGACACAGGCUGAUGGGAAAAUGCUGACCAAGAAGGCCACUGCCCUUGUCCCCUACCUAAAACCCCCAAUAAAAACUCCUACCCGUUUCUUAACAGGGAGAAAGCAACUUUUUUGGGGCACUGGGCUUUUGCUUUUCUCCCUCUGCCUGGCAAAGUAAAGCCUUUCCUUUUUCUCCCAAGACUCUCGUCUCGUUACUUGGAUUGGCUUUGAGAUCAGAGACUGAACUUUCGGUAACACUAUUUGGAAACCCAGCCCAAGGAGAUUCUGUUAUUUUCAAGAAGUGGUUCCUGAAAUCUCUCUGGGCAACAAAAUUCAGCCAGCAGAUGGAAGAAGUGAGCGGGUAGAAUAAGCUUAUCUACCUUAUGGCCGCCUUGGGUUAGAAGUGACAGUCACCAUUCUGCUUAUCUUCCAUUGCUGAGAACUAGUCCCACAGCACUACUUAGAAGCAAGUGAAAGUGCUGGGAAAUGGAGUCAGUGCUGGGGCAACCCAUUCCCAGCUGCGAUUGCAUUGUGGGAGGGGAGCACGAAUGUUUGGGAGAACAGCUGGCUAUCACUGCCACACGGAGGCUCCUGUUAAAAAUGUUGAUUAAAUCAGAACAACUCAACCAUCCUUGUUUUUUGUUGAAUUUCAGCCUGGCUCCUGGCCUGCUUAGGAAAAAAAAAAGAGAGUCAGUCUGUAGGGAACCAGAGAGGAGGAUCCGGCCAACUUCAGGGUGGCUUGUUCAAUUGUUUCCUGAGGCAAAUGGAAGGCAGCGCAGCUUGCAGCCACUUUAAAAGGCGAUCUGGCCCUUGGGGAUCAAGCUACAAUGGAAAUAUCCAUUUGAAAAUUCUGCACUAACUGCCAACACCAUUAACAUCCCAGUUCCAUCUGAAUGUGUCUGCAAGGUCUCUGGCCAACUCUGGAUGCAACAGCUUCACCACAGUUUGAUCCCUUUGGCUGCUGCAGCCACGGACACUCGUCUGGGGGGAGCAGUUAUGCCCCAGCAUUUGGUGCACCUUCUGGGAUAGAUUGGCUGUCUGGGCUUACAGGCCUGUCUCCUUCUUUCCCUCCAGAUUUGACAGUCUUUGUGCAGAACUUGAAGUCAACUUCUACUUGAAAUCCCAUUCUGUAUUCUUCAAUUAUGUUUUAUAUUAAGUAUUUUCAGUUCUCUAUAUAAAUGUUAUUGUAGAUUUGCAAUUUAGAAAGAAAUCAACAACUAAUUAGAACUCACAUAUGUUUCUGUUUUUCCUCCAUUUAAUCGUUUGUAUGUAAAAUUGUUUUUCAUUUUUUUCCUGAUCUGAUUUCCUAUUUUGGCGUUUCCCCCUUAUGUUUUUUUCAUGGACUGGGAUUUUGUGAUCUAAUACAAAUCAUGGAAUUAUCAUAGAGGCAAAAUUUAUUGAGGGCUGUAUGUAAUUCAAGCUGUACAUCUGCUGAAAAUCUCUUUCUGCUAAAAAUAGCACACGUGAUAAAUUCUUCACUUACUUUAUUAACAGUUUUCUCUCUCCUAAGAAAGAAGAAGCAACCAGAACUACCAUUUU
ensembl:lncRNA